CCUUUAGCGACUGCGGAGGACAUUAUUGAAUUAAUGUAGAGUUUGGUUGUAGCUGGCUCCUAAUUAAACUUGGGGGCAUGUGCACACCUUUCUCUUUCAUCCCAUACACACCUGUGCACCUGUGAGACAGAUGUUUUGUGGGGGGGAAGGAACUUUAUUGGACCUUCUACUCCCCCUUGACUUCUGUCUACUUAAUUCAUAUAAACUCAAUUUAUUUUAAAACGGAUGUAAUGGAUGUAACACAUCUAAUACUAAGUUUCAACAACGGAUCUCUUGGCUCUCGCAUCGAUGAAGAACGCAGCGAAAUGCGAUAAGUAAUGUGAAUUGCAGAAUUCAGUGAAUCAUCGAAUCUUUGAACGCACCUUGCGCUCCUUGGUAUUCCUUGGAGCAUGCCUGUUUGAGUAUCAUGAAAUCUUCAAAGUCAAACCUUUUGUUAAUUCAAUUGGUUCUGCUUUGGUAUUGGAGGAUUAUUGCAGCUUCACACCUGCUCCUCUUUGUGCAUUAGCUGGAUCUCAGUGUUAUGCUUGGUUCCACUCAGCGUGAUAAGUUAUCUAUCGCUGAGGACACCCUGUUAAAAAGGGGUGGCCAAGGUAAAUGCAGAUGAACCGCUUCUAAUAGUCCAUUGACUUGGACAAUAUCUAAUUUAUGAUCUGAUCUCAAAUCAGGUAGGACUACCCGCUGAACUUAAGCAUACAAA
rnacentral:rRNA from 1 species